rnacentral:rRNA from 1 species
GGCCAUGAACAUGGAUGGACCUGCGGUGCAUUAGCUGGUUGGUGAGGUAACGGCCCACCAAGGCGACGAUGCAUAGCCGGCCUGAGAGGGCGGACGGCCACAUUGGGACUGAGACACGGCCCAAACUCCUACGGGAGGCAGCAGUAGGGAAUUUUCGUCAAUGGGGGGAACCCUGAACGAGCAAUGCCGCGUGAGUGAGGAAGGUCUUCGGAUCGUAAAGCUCUGUUGUAAGAGAAAAACGGCACUCAUAGGGAAUGAUGAGUGAGUGAUGGUAUCUUACCAGAAAGUCACGGCUAACUACGUGCCAGCAGCCGCGGUAAUACGUAGGUGGCGAGCGUUAUCCGGAAUGAUUGGGCGUAAAGGGUGCGUAGGUGGCAGAUCAAGUCUGGAGUAAAAGGUAUGGGCUCAACCCGUACUGGCUCUGGAAACUGAUCAGCUAGAGAACAGAAGAGGACGGCGGAACUCCAUGUGUAGCGGUAAAAUGCGUAGAUAUAUGGAAGAACACCGGUGGCGAAGGCGGCCGUCUGGUCUGGAUUCUGACACUGAAGCACGAAAGCGUGGGGAGCAAAUAAGGAUUAGAUACCCUAGUAGUCCACGCCGUAAACGAUGAGAACUAGGUGUU